rnacentral:siRNA from 1 species
UAAUGUAGCUGACUAGGAUGCCAC